UAUAUACUCCCUCUGUCUGGAAAUACUUGUCAUCAAAAUGGAUAAAAGGGAUGUAUCUAGAUGUAUUUUAGUUUUAGAUACAUCCCUUUUUGUCCAUUUUGAUGACAAGUAUUUUCGGACGGAGGGAGUAUAAU
rnacentral:pre_miRNA from 1 species